rnacentral:rRNA from 1 species
CCUACGGGUGGCAGCAGUGAGGGAUAUUGGACAAUGGGGGAAACCCUGAUCCAGCAACGCCGCGUGAGGGAAGACGGUUUUCGGAUUGUAAACUUCUGUCCUCAGUGAAGAUAAUGACGGUCACAGAGGAGGAAGCUCCUGCUAACUACGUGCCAGCAGCCGCGGUAAUGCGUAGGGAGCAAGCGUUGUCCGGAUUUACUGGGUGUAAAGGGUGCGUAGGCGGCGUUGCAAGUCAGAAGUGAAAUCCAUGGGCUUAACCUGUUGACUGCUUUUGAAACUGUAUGGCUUGAGUGAAGUAGAGGAAGGCGGAAUUCCCGGUGUAGCGGUGAAAUGCGUAGAGAUCGGGAGGAACACCAGUGGCGAAGGCGGCCAGCUGGGCUUUAACUGACGCUGAAGCACGAAAGCGUGGGUAGCAAACAGGAUUAGAUACCCUUGUAGUC